rnacentral:rRNA from 1 species
GACGAACGCUGGCGGCGUGCUUAACACAUGCAAGUCGAACGGAAAGACCCUGCUUUUGUGGGGUGCUCGAGUGGCGAACGGGUGAGUAACACGUGAGUAACCUGCCCUUGACUUUGGGAUAACUUCAGGAAACUGGGGCUAAUACCGGAUAGGAGCUCCUGCUGCAUGGUGGGGGUUGGAAAGUUUCGGCGGUUGGGGAUGGACUCGCGGCUUAUCAGCUUGUUGGUGGGGUAGUGGCUUACCAAGGCUUUGACGGGUAGCCAGCCUGAGAGGGUGACCGGCCACAUUGGGACUGAGAUACGGCCCAGACUCCUACGGGAGGCAGCAGUGGGGAAUAUUGCACAAUGGGCGGAAGCCUGAUGCAGCAACGCCGCGUGCGGGAUGACGGCCUUCGGGUUGUAAACCGCUUUCGCCUGUGACGAAGCGUGAGUGACGGUAAUGGGUAAAGAAGCACCGGCUAACUACGUG